ACGAUUACUGAUUUGUGCUGCGUUCAGGAGUCGCUUUUGGGUUGAAUCUCAGUCGAGAACUUUACAUCACUCCAAAAUCAAAGGAGCUUAAUUUUGCUUGAAGAAAACUAAGCCUUAUUUUAGGUCCAGCAAGAUGGCUUGUAUUGCAUCGUUUUAUUUUAAUGACAACAAAACAUUCCUAUUGGUGGCCCACUGAAGCUGGGCGGGGUUAGGACAGAUGGCGCUCUAGACUAGUUUCCAUUAGCAUAAACAUUUCUUUUUUUUUUUUUUUUUUUUUUUUUAGUCGUUUAUCUCAGUAUUGUUCAAAGACAGAAAUCUCGUGGGUCAAAUUAUACAAAUACAUAUAAUAUAUAUUUGUUUAUUUACAGGCAUUAUAUUCAGGAUCAUAGUUGAUAUCUAACAAACGAUCGAACAUUCGGUGGUUUGGAAAGUAAAAAAGAACCAAAGGAUGGUAAAAGAAAUGAAAGCGAGAGAUGGGCUUUAACAAUUUUUGUAGUAAAUUUGGAAAGUAUCAAUUAUAUAUAUAUAUAUAUUGUUCAAAUCAGUCUGUAGUAAACCAAUAUAAAAGUAAUACUUUAGUUAAUACCAGUAC
ensembl:processed_transcript